AGCAGCUUGGAUUAGUAGAAAGAACAUGGGCCUGAAAAUCAGAGAACCUGGGUUCCAAUCCCAGAUCUGCUA
rnacentral:tRNA from 1 species